UACGUAGGUGGCAAGCGUUGUCCGGAUUUACUGGGCGUAAAGAGCGCGCAGGCGGUCGUUCAAGUCGCGUCGUGAAGCCCCCGGCUCAACUGGGGAGGGUCACGCGAUACUGAUCGACUCGAAGGCAGGAGAGGGUGAGUGGAAUUCCCCGGUGUAGUGGUGAAAGUGCGUAGAUAUCGGGAGGAACACCAGUGGCGAAGGCGACUACCUGGCCUGUUUCUUG
rnacentral:rRNA from 1 species